AGGCACUGGCGGCAGCUGGCGGGGCCCCUGAUCCUCACGGACUUCCUCCUCCCUCCGCUGUCUCCCCGGCCUCCCUGGGCUUUCCAGGAGAGCCGUCCACGCCUGCUGUGGGAGGAAGACGCUUUCCUGAGGCAGGGGCCAGGCAGCUUCUGUUGGCGCCUGGAACAGCUUCCGCUCAUCGCUUCUGGCGGCACACACUGCGGAGGUGAGACUGCAAAUGCCGCCCGCCCCACGUGGUGCAGGCUGAGUGCUCUGGUGUUUGUCCAAGCUGUUCCAAGCCCAGGAGGUCGGACUCUCACCGUCGUCUUGGUGAUGGCAACGCUGUGUCCUGCCCCACCUCGUGGCUGCCCCCACCUGUACCGGUUGUUUCUCUCCCCUGGAUGCCUGUGGGGGUGGGGACGGCAGAGCCUCGGACACUGCCCGGGGAUCACUCUCAGGCUACUUUUCCCACCCUGCCAAGCUGCUCGAGACGUCAAAGGAGACCAGGCCGGUCAGCACACAGGCUUCUGGUAAGUGCCGCCCUCCGGUCUGGGAGCUCAGCUCUCCCCUUCUGACUCACCGCUCGGCGCUGACUCAUCGUGACGGCGAGUGGGGCUCCAGCUCCGCGGCAUUUCAUAGACAGCGCGGUCACAUUCCUUUCCAACAGUCGCUCUGGCCUCGAUGUCUAAGGCUCCGUGGGCAGCCGGCCUGUGGAUGAGGCGGCGGAAACCACAUCCUCUUCAUCAUCCUCUCACGAGGAAGGACACUGACAGCUUCGGAGAAGGCUGCCCAGUGUCUGCGGGUGCCCUUGGGAGAUGGCCUUGGGACACGGUGCCUGUGCCUGUGUGUGUACACCACGUGUGAACGCCAACUGGGAACACGGCCCCUUCGUAGGCAAACCCAGGCCUCCUGGAAGUCACAAGUUGAUAGCUGUACUCGCCCCUUUUGGAAGACGCACGCCCAAGGCACCCGUGUGUGCACACGUAUCCGUGUGUGGACCUCUGUCCACACGUGUGUGUUUUGAAAAGCCUUUCUCACCACAUGUUAGGAUCACAAGUGUUCAAAAUCUAGGCACACUUUUCAGAAGUUAUUUCUGGAAAAAAUGUUGAAUCUCAUAACAGCAAUAAAAGGAAAAUACCGCCUCAGCCAACAUAAAUGUCUCCUUGGAACAUGCCUGAAAAGCGGCGGAGUAUUUGUGUAAGUUUCAAUUCCAGCGUCAGAGCCUGCAGCUUGGCCGAGGCCGGGUUCUGCACAGGAGGGUGCACGGUCCCUUUCCGAAAGCCCCUCACCGGACUUCUGGGAACUCCCAACCCAUCCCGGGAACCCCACCUGCCGGCCCCGGAUCCGGAUGGGCUCCUGAUGUAUCCCACAGAGGGGAUGCCAACGUCAGACACCAGCAGGCUGGGGAGGAGCGGCUGUGAGGUGCAGCCGGCGGGUGGGCGGCCAGCCUCCAGGACAGACCUCGGAGGAGGCUGGGGGCUGCCUGCUGCCCUCGGGGCCCUGUGGUCCCACCACACCCGUGCCUGUCCCAGUGAUCCUCAUGUCACCGGCCCAGUGAGAGGCUGCUGCUACCAACCCCGCCAGCCUGCAGGCCGCUGAGUGCUGGGCUGCUCCUCCUCAGAGGAUGAGCGUGGGAAUAACCCAGUGGGGCGAGGAUGCUGACGGCGCCAUGGAUGUCCACUGAGGGCCCGAGAUGGGCCAGGCCGAGCUCUGUGCUUUGGAGUCAGAUCUCAUUUAAACCCAGCAGCACAUCCCAUUUCACACGUGGGAAGGUGGGGGAGUCAGGAUCAGAGAGCAGGGUGUCGCAUGGGGGAGCAGCCGGGCUGCGAUGUGAACCCUACAGUCUGCCCAUGAGCCGCACUCCUGGGCUGGACACUCCAGAGCCUUCUCAAGCAGCUUUCUUGGGGCUCCCUGAGCACCUGGCUGGAUGCUGCUGGUCUGGAACUCUGGACGGGGGCCCCGGGAGCUGACCUGCAAAGCUGUAGAGCGACUGUGAGGCACUGGCAGCUUUGCAGCCCCUCUGGACCCAGGGUGGGGUGGGCUGAGCAUCUGGCCUUCUGGGUCUAUCUGGGAGGCAGGGCUGUCUCAGAUCUGGGGCCUUCUGAGAAAGAUGUCGAACCCAAGCUUCCUUGGGGAAGGAGGCAGAUGGACCCCAGAUCACUCUCCUGGGUGUGAAAUCAGCUUUGGGGGUGCCUUCGGGGUCGGGCAGAACUGGGCUCACCCAGCUCUCGCCUUUUCUGGCUGUGUCACUUGGGUGAGCUCCUGAGCCUCUCUGUGCCUCGGUUUCCCUGUUGAUUAGGUCAGGCCAAGGAUUAAAUGAUGGCAAAGUCGUACCACGCUGGCUGGUUUUGGGCCUGUGGGGAUUCUUCAUCAUUUCUUCUCUUUCUCCUACUGCAGCUCCAGGCUACCCUGAGAUUUGCCUGCUGGGUCUGGGCUUCAUGGCGGGGCCAGAUUGGUGCCUCGGAGCAGAGGGCACAGGACAGAGCGGGCACCAAUGCACGGGCAGGUUUCCAGGCACUUUGGGAAGAAAUAAGAUCCCACCCAAGAACCUCUCCCCAACUCUGGCCUUGGCUCGUCCUGGUUGUUUCCAAAAGUGAAAGAAGGCAAAAGAGUGAGCCGAGGCCCACCGGGAACAACAACAAAGACCCGGCCUCGGAGUGGCGGCAGCGCCGCGGCCACUGCAGGAGAGCUCUGGUUUCUAUUAGUGGGAAGCGACGGCUCCGUCUCAGGACAGAGCUUGGGCCAUCAGCCCUCGGCGGGUUAACCCUUCCCCACCUCACUGCUCUCACAGGCAACAGGCACCCCUGAAGCUGGGAAGUCCUGGGGCCGGGUUCAGCUGAGGACUCCCUGCAUCCUGCCACCACCACCAACCAUGCUGGCGCUCACACACACACACACAUACGCACGCACACACGCACACACAUGCCUACACACACCCACACGUCUCACAGACACACACGCACACUCACAUGCAUGCACACGUGCCCACACAUGCCCACAUGUCUCACACACACGCAUGCCCACACAUGCACACACACUUAUAUGUGCACACAUAUGCACAAUCCACACCAGCACACACAUGCACAUACACAUACACACACACAGACAUGCAUGCACAUACACACCCAUACAUGCAAACACAUAUUCCUACACAGGGACACUCCACGCCAGGGCCAUGUCAUCUGAGGCCAAAUGAAGAGUUGGCAGAGGAGGAAGGCCUGGAGAGGUAGCGUGGAGGCCAGAGGAGGCCCUGGUUGAGACGUGCUUGCUGGUUUGGCAGGUGGAGGGACUUGGGGACCAAGUAACCCGGCUCGGUCAAACAUUCUCUCCCCAGGCACGGAUGCUGUGUCCCUGGGGAGCCCAACCUCCCCAAGUGGAGCUUGGCUGAGACCCCUCAGCAGCUCCGAGGGCCCCUGUGGGUUGUGAUGCCAGAAACAGGGCCAGAGCUCAGAGGAGGCACAGGGACUACGGUUUCCGUUGAAAGACGGCUCAGGGUCACCGGGCUCAGCAGAGGGAGGGCGCUUCAGGGGCGGUGACCGGGUCGCUUUAGGAAGAUGGGUGGGGGGCACUCGACUCCCAAGGCUGAGGGAGGGGAAAGGUGUGUGCACACUGCAGGCAUCCGGCCUUUGGGCCCCAGAGUGUGCCGGGCAGGUGUCAUCUCCAUUAACAGCUGCAGCCGCUGUGGAGGUGGCUGCCACCAUGAUACCCAUCGUACAGGUGAGGAGGUGGAGGUAGGAAGGGCGUGGCCUGUCUCAACCUGACAGGGAUGUGUGUAUGUGGCCACAUGUUGACUUUUUGUUUUAAAAUUUGGAUUCUACUGGGGAAAAAGAUUACAAUAAAGUGUCUGUGCUGCACCCAGGAAGGCAUGCCCACUGGGUAAGGCUCGGCACCAAGCGGCCUCUCACUGUGGGUCAGGCUCGCAUGGGGCGGGUGUGCCUGGCCCCUGUGUGAACCUGGAGCUGGCCAUGGGGAGAGGCUGCUCUGGGGCUUUUCAGAGAAUCCGUGGUUGAUUCCCUCAAGGACUCCCUCAAGGGGGCCACGCUCCUCCUCCCUGGGUCCCCUCCCUGGCCCCCACCCUUCCCUUUCUCAGGUCCUCCCUCUGACAGUGGCUGUAGCCCUCUGCUCCUAGCCCAGGGCAGCCCUGGCCUCUGGAGUCACAGUCAUGUGUUCAAGUCUCGGCCCCUUUCCCAAGGUGAGCUGGUCCUGCAGGGAUGCGGGAAGUGUCAGAAUAUGAAAACAACCAGGACAAGGACAGCUCAGCUUACCCCGCUCCAGCACCUUCUCCAGGUCAAGCACUUGGCCAGCCCUGUAGCAGCCUCCUCAUUCCAUCUCUCUGGUGUUUUACAGAUGAGAAAUGAGCACAGAGAGGUUAGGAGCAUUGUCCAGUGCCACAGAGCUGGCAUGUGCUUGUCUGGGCUGAGAACUCUAUGAAGCCUUGGAAAUGCUCCCCACAUAUGGAGCAGUGUGUUCAGGCCCCAUGGCCUGACCGGGAGCAGGAGGGAAGGACAGGCUCAGGUCUCGCAUCCCGGGAAGAAUUUCUCCUCAGUGCACCAGGGAAUAUCGCCUGACGACGGAAUCAGGUUUCUUUCCCCAUGACCCCUCCACCAUUAGUGUUCCCAGAAAGCCAGGGGCUGCUGUGCCCAGAGGAGGUGCACCCUGGGAGCCCUGCCUGCAGGACGGGAAGCAGAGCCCCCUCAGAACAGAAACUAGGAACAGAGGAGGGACAAGGGAGGGAGGGCAGAAGGUCCGGUGCCCUCAGUUUCUAUCCAUCCUUGGGUCGGAAACCUGGGAUGGAAUGAGUGAGGAGCUGGGUCCACAGGGACAGGAACUGGGGGAUACCAGGGGCUAGGGCUGCUCAUCCUUUCCCAAGGAGGAGCCAGGGAAAAAUUAAGCUCAUAGGGAAUGUCGGGUUCACCGGGCCUGGCGGACUCCAGAUCCCAGAGGCAGGGCACCCACACAUCUCUCACCGGCACGCACCAGGGCCCCGAUAGCCGGGCACCAUCAUGGCGAAUUACAUUACAUUGCAUUACCCGGGGACCACUAUCAUGACCACGUUGGGAGAGGAAACUGAGGCACUAAGCUGCCAAAGUCACGCAGCCCACAACACUGGAAGGCAAAGCAGCCGUCUGGACCCCAGAACUGGAGCUGUCCCCUCACUGGGCGAAACCCAGAACCCAGUGUUUGCUUCUUUCUCAGAGUAGCAAGAAGACAUGGCAGAGCUGCCCUCAGGCUGGAGGCUUGCAAGCCGGAGGCGCACCACUGUCUAAGCAAACCAGGCACGAGGAAACGCAUUCGCAAGCCUGAGAAGAUGAGUGGCCAUCACUGGCAUCACCGAAAUGGCCUCCUCAACCGGACGGGAAGAAUCCCUCCCCCAGCUGACUCCCCGAGAUGCUCCAUGCCCCACGUUCCUGACCUCCUAGGGGAAGGAGCAGGAGGAACCCAAGGCCAUCAGAGGGGCCUGGACUGUGGGUGCUGCCAAGUCUGUAGGUGACCCGGUGACCAUCCCGGUUUGCAGGGGACCAAGAUUCUUUCUGGGAUGUGGUGCUUUCAGUGGCAACAAGAAGAGCCCCCUCGGCAGCCCUGGCAAUCCAGGACAGUGGGUCGCCCCCGCACGGCCUGACGCUGUGGCGUGGAGUCUCCAGCGGGGCAGCACUGGGUUGGAGGAGGGAGGAUGCUGCCAGCAUCACGGGGAGGUCACAUGCCAGACACUGGUGUCUGAUUUCCCCUUGAGAGAGGUUUCAUCACUGCCCCGUCCUUGGAAAGGGUCACCCAGUCAGACUACAGAGCCAGGACCAUGAUCCAAAGCUGAGCAGUGCCCACCAAAGACAGUGUUCCCAGUGCUCAGGAGCCCUUGGGCCUUUAUAAGGUGUCUACCGUGGGACUAAAAAAACACCUGUCCCCAGGUGACAGCAUGCUGCCUUUGAAACACAGCUCUGUGAGAACACACCUGGCAAAGGCAGUCUUGGGGGCCACGCGGCAGGGACCCCUUUCCUUUACCAACUCUCACAGGCUGAGCCGCUCUUGCUGUGAAUGUACGUGGCCUUGGUAUGUUCUCCAGCAAGAUUAUAAGUGGAGGAUGGAGUCAGCUGGGAAGCGAGGCUCAGAUCAAGGAGGGCUACUACCAGGAUCCCUGCAGAAACAGGGACACAGGGAGAGAUGGCUGUAAAAUCCUUGAGCUUUAAGGGGUAAGCUCAUGGAGCCCUGAAAAAUAUGACUGCAUUGCAAAUGCCAACUUGUAGACACAAAUAUCGUGGAAGCAGGCCACGUUCAGCCUUGCACACUGUGCGCUCUUCCAUGACUGAGAACGUUAGUCACCUGCACCCUGACCAACCUCUCAUCCCUGAAGCCUGCUGGGAGGUGUCUGGGGACAGGAACGAAAAUUUACAAUGUUCUUUGGUUGUUUAAUUUUGAAUUUUCUCCCUCAUUAUUAUUGAAACUGAAACAUCUAAGAGGACACCCAGAUUUAUCUGAAACCGGAAGAUGACACGUAUGAAGGAUCAAGCAUUCAUCACAAACACAGGCAGGCGAAGGAGACCAAAACACAGCUAGGACCAUGCCAAGCGUCGGUGAUGAUGUGGAGAAAUGGGGACCUGCCAGACACUGCUGGUGGGGAGGUGACAUGGUGCAGCCACUAUGGAAAAUAGUCCAGCAGUUCCUCGAAAUGGAAAGCAGGAGUCCCAUGACCCAGCAGUUCCAUUUUCAAGGAAGUCCCCAAGAGAAAUAGAAACUUACGUCUUCACAAAAGCUUGAAAAUACACAUUCAUAGCAGCAUGAUUCAUAACAUCAAAAAGCAGAAACAGCCCAAAUGCCCAUCAGUGGAUGGAUGGAUAAGCACAAUGUGGCCCCUCCAUACGACACAAUAUUACUCAGCCAUAAGAACGAGUGAGGUAGCGGCACAGGCCACAAAGUGGGCGAACCUGGGAACCACGGGACUGAGUGGAAGGAGCCAGUCACAAAAGGUCAUGGGCUGUCUGAAUCCAUUCAUUUGAAUUUCCAGACUAGGCAAAUCCACAGAGACAGAAAGUGGGUUGGUGGUUGCAGUGGCUGGGGGCAGGGGGACAUGGGGAGAGUGCGGAGUGAGUACUAAUAGGUGUGUGGUUUCUUUUUUCAGUGAUAAAAAUGUACUAAAAUUUAUUGUGAUGGUUGCACAAGUCUGUGGCUGAAAACCACUGAAUUGUACGUUUUAAUGGGGUGCAUUGUUUGCGUGUGAAUCACAUCUCAAUAAAGCUGUUUUUAAAAUGCAAUUAUUGCACAAUGCAAA
rnacentral:lncRNA from 1 species